UUUCCGUAGCAAUACGGAGAUGGCGCACGGCGCACGGGUGCGUAACACGUGGGUAAUCUGCCCUCUGAUGGGGAAUAACCCGCCGAAAGGCGGGCUAAUUCCGCAUAACAUUCCUUGGACUCCGGUUCGAGGAUUCAAAGGCGUAAGUCGUCGGAGGUGGAGCCCGCGCACGAUUAGCUAGUUGGUGAGGUAAUGGCUCACCAAGGCUAUGAUCGUUAGCUGGUCUGAGAGGAUGGCCAGCCACACUGGAACUGAGACACGGUCCAGACUCCUACGGGAGGCAGCAGUGGGGAAUCUUGCACAAUGGGCGAAAGCCUGAUGCAGCGACGCCGCGUGGGGGAUGAAGCUUUUCGGAGUGUAAACCCCUUUCGACCGGGACGAAUACCUCGCAAGAGGGGUGACGGUACCGGUAUAAGAAGCCCCGGCUAACUACGUGCCAGCAGCCGCGGUAAGACGUGGGGGGCCAGCGUUGCUCGGAAUUACUGGGUGUAAAGGGUUCGUAGGCGGUGUGGCAAGUCGGGAGUGAAAUCUCUGGGCUUAACUCAGGGGCUGCUUCCGAAACUGCCGUGCUAGAGUGUGGGAGAGGCGCGUGGAAUUGCAGGUGUAGCGGUGAAAUGCGUAGAUAUCUGCAGGAACACCCGUGGCGAAAGCGGCGCGCUGGACCACUACUGACGCUGAGGAACGAAAGCUAGGGGAGCAAACAGGAUUAGAUACCCUGGUAGUCCUAGCCCUAAACGAUCAGGAACUUGGGGUGCCACCCGUUCGGGUGUCGUCCCGGAGCUAACGCGUUAAGUCCUGCACCUGGGGAGUACGGUCGCAAGACUGAAACUC
rnacentral:rRNA from 1 species